rnacentral:rRNA from 1 species
ACCUUUACAGAGGAUAGCCAGAGAAAUUUGGAUUAAUACCUCAUAGUGUUAUUAGAUGGCAUCAUUGAUAACUAAAGUUCCAACGGUAAAGAUGGGCAUGCGUCCCAUUAGCUAGAUGGUAAGGUAACGGCUUACCAUGGCAAUGAUGGGUAGGGGUCCUGAGAGGGAGAUCCCCCACACUGGUACUGAGACACGGACCAGACUCCUACGGGAGGCAGCAGUGAGGAAUAUUGGACAAUGGGCGCAAGCCUGAUCCAGCCAUGCCGCGUGCAGGAAUAAGGUCCUAUGGAUUGUAAACUGCUUUUAUACAGGAAGAAACACACCCUCGUGAGGGUACUUGACGGUACUGUAUGAAUAAGGACCGGCUAACUCCGUG